GAUGAACGCUGGCGGCGUGCUUAACACAUGCCAGUCGAACGGAAAGGCCCUGCCUUUGUGGGGUGCAGGAGUGGCGAACGGGUGAGUAACACGUGAGUAACCUGCCCACGACGUUGGGAUAACUUCAGGGAACUGGGGACAAUAACCGAUAGGAGCUCCUGCAGCAUGGUGGUGGUUGGAAAGUUUCGGAGGUGGGGGAUGGACUCGUGGCUGAGCAGCUUGUUGGUGGGGUAGUGGCUUACCAAGGCGUUGACGGGUCGCCGGCCUGAGAGGGGGACCGGCCACCUUGGCACUCUGCUACGGCCGAGAGUCCUAGGGGAGGCAGCGGUGGGGAAUCUUGCCCAACGGGCGGACGCCUGAUGCAGGAACGCCGCCUGCGGGAUGACGGCCUUCGGUGUAUAGACAGAUUUGGCCUUAGACGAUGCCUGAGUGACGGUACUUGAUAAGAAAGCAACGGCUAACUACGUG
rnacentral:rRNA from 1 species